AGUGGAAUUGCUGGAUCAUAUGGUAUUUCUAUUUCUCUUUUUUUAAGAAAGUGCCAUAUUGUUUUCCAAAGCAGUUGUACUAUUUAC
rnacentral:miRNA from 1 species